rnacentral:rRNA from 1 species
CUCGGGCCGGGAUGUUCACAACCCUUUGUUGUCCGACUCUGUUGCCUCCGGGGCGACCCUGCCUCCGGGCGGGGGCCCCGGGUGGACAUUUCAAACUCUUGCGUAACUUUGCAGUCUGAGUAAAUUUAAUUAAUAAAUUAAAACUUUCAACAACGGAUCUCUUGGUUCUGGCAUCGAUGAAGAACGCAGCGAAAUGCGAUAAGUAAUGUGAAUUGCAGAAUUCAGUGAAUCAUCGAAUCUUUGAACGCACAUUGCGCCCCCUGGUAUUCCGGGGGGCAUGCCUGUCCGAGCGUCAUUUCACCACUCAAGCCUCGCUUGGUAUUGGGCGACGCGGUCCGCCGCGCGCCUCAAAUCGACCGGCUGGGUCUUUCGUCCCCUCAGCGUUGUGGAAACUAUUCGCUAAAGGGUGCCGCGGGAGGCCACGCCGUGAAACAACCCCAUUUCUAAGGUUGACCUCGGAUCAGGUAGGGAUACCCGCUGAACUUAAGCAUAUCAAUAAGCGGAGGAA